ACACUACAUAGAGAAUUUAAAAAUUGGUCUCUUUCUGUGUUGAAUAGCUUGGUAUCCCCAUGGACAUCUCUGACACGAGUUUGGAGAGUGGCAGCGACUGUCUUGCUGGGGAAUAGCAAACUACUGAGCAACACAGGCCUGCUGGUGUGGAGCUGGUGGGAAACCCAGACAGAGCACCCAAAGACAUUGGCCAUAGAAACAGGAGCGGAGUGAGGUGAAGACGAAUGGUCAGUGCCAACAAGGAUCACCAGGGAAUGAGGAGGAGGAAAAACACUGACUUAAUUGGGAUGCUAAGCACUGUGGCUGCACUUGUGCAGGGGUCUGCAGAUGGCCUUGCCACGAAACAAGAAUCCUCAGAAGCCCCCAGGAAGAUUGGGAACUACUGAGACAAUGCAGGUAAAGUGCUUCUCUCCCCACUUCCCUGAGCCCAGAGGAGAGGAGGGCCCUUCUGACCUAGGUGGGCUCUGAUUUUUCUCCUCCGGGGCUGCCAGGACGUUGCAAGGAAUGUGCCAUGGGCCACCGAAGGCCCCAGCAAGCCUCACUGAGCUAUUUGAGAAGUCUGGCCCUAGUUUUCCCCCUUCCUUUCUUACAGUGUCAGCUCCCAGUGAGGGACAUUGGCCAAGGAGGACUUCCUGUUUCAUAGAGUAACACGUGACCUGUGGC
rnacentral:lncRNA from 1 species